CACGUGGAACCCAGCCUCCGGGGAUAACAACGAGCCACCGGUCAACAGGCAAGGUUGAGAGUCCAGUGCGUGGCAAGCCCCGACCGGGCCCGAGGCCUCCAGCCUGGGCCUCCCGUCCUCCCGGAGUUCACAGUGACGGACAAGCAAGAUGCCAGCGAUUUCCAAAGCAGUGCCGGAGAGCAGGGUGGGUGUGGCUAGGUGGCACACGGUCGUAGCCAAAAGGGAGGCCCAGGUGGCCCUCCCUGUAUUGUGGGGAGGAACUGAGGACAACAUCCUCCAAGCACAGACAGCAGGAGAGGGGUGUUCAGACUAGAAAUGAUGACCACUUGUGACCCCAGCUCUGCGUGACCUGGGGCCAGCAAGCUGCUCCCAAGCCUCUGUUUUGUCAUCUGUGGAAUGGGAACAAUCCCGGCCCCCACUCCCCGGUGGCAGCGAGGAUCAGAUAUCAUUCCCGUGUGUUCCCCUGAAAGCUGGCGUGCCCGACGGACGGGGGCACUCCACGGAGAAGGUGUGAUGUGGCUGGCACUGUCGACGGACGCCCACAGAGGUGAGGCGGGUGGGAGCCAGGUGCCCCGGACGCCUCUGUGGGCUGUGCACCCGGCUGACUCUGGACCCCAGCUGCGGCGGCCGUUGGCACUUUGCGGGAGGCUGGGGCGGGCAGGGCCCCGCAGAUCCCGGAACAGCAGCGCCCCGCUUCCCUGCAUCCCGCCUCGACGUAAACACGGUUGGGAACAUUUCAGGACCGCGACAGCAAAAAAAACAAACCCGCGGAACCCAGACAACGAGCGCAAAUGCUAACUUUCAUGUCACAUCCAGAAACCACGUGUUCAUCGGGCCACCUGCGGGCUUGCGGCUCAGCGGGGAGGUGCAGGGUUGUUGUGUUUAGAAACCAAGCUAGGGGCACAGCUGCGGGCACCACCUCCCUCCGUCCUCCCAGACACGGCCCUUGAGGCCGCCUGGACGUCGGCGAGGGGAUGGGCACCCAUGCCUCUGGCUUUUAAGUCGCCUGGGAGUCAGUGGAGCGGAGGGGGAGGGUCCUGUCACUGCGGGCACCACCUUGGGCACCUCUCCGUGCUCAGCGGGGUCUGGCAAAGGCCUGAGGUCACCUGGCCAGUGAGUGGCAGACUUAGAACUCACGCCAGGACCCCUGACUCCCCCAGACACACUCUCUUCCCACUACCCCCGGCUGACCGGCCACCAUCCUGCUCAGGCAAACCGACUACCUAUGGGCUUGGGGAGGGCUCCAGAUCCCUCCUACCCUUUGAGACAGCGAUGCUGAGAAGUGUUAUUUUUAUUCGUCCCCAAGCCUUGCCAGAUUACAUUGUCAAGGCCAGCACUUUGGAGAUAUUCCCUUGGUUUCGCAAUUCACGCAGUGACUAACACAUGUUACAUUUUGAAAACCUCUCUUGGUAAAAAUUUAAGCUGACUUGUAAAUACAUAAAAGUCUCGAUGUUAAUGGGGUGCAUGAUUUCUCGGUGGCUGUUUUGUAAUCCCAAGAUUCCAAAGGGAUGUGGAAUUCUAUAAAAAUGGAGAACGAGAACCCUCCCAGAGCCGCCCUUUGGAACCAUCACUACGGGCAGCGGAACAGCCCUUACAUCUGUCCGUCGUUACAGAAGUUACAAAAUCACUUCCCGUUUCCUGCCCCUGGCAGGGCAGGACACUUCCGGGGGGUGGUCCGAGCAGGGAGAGCAGAGAAGCCCGGAGCGGAGGAUCGGGGUCCCUCCGCGGGGCAGGAGCGCACGCAGGCUCUGAAACCAUCCAUAGGGCAGUUGGACGCGCUGUCUACACAUGGCUCUCCCGAGUGGCAUCUUCCAAGAGCCCUUUGCCGCUCCGGGCCCCUCCCCCGCCGCCUCCCACCCCUGCGAACAGGCCUGUUUCUGAGAGCACUGAAGACGGGAAACACGCGAUCUCGAAUGUGUCUCUUGCACGGUCACACAUUUUUUUCGUUGUGCGUCUUGGCUGAUCCAUGAUUUAAGAUCCCCAGCAACUGUUUCCAGGUCGGUUUUCAAAGUGUUUUUGCACCUUUGACCCCCCCCAACCCCCGCCGCCCCCCCACCCCACUCCUCCCAGCCCUCACUCACCCCGCCCUGAGAAAAAAGACCAGAGGGCCCUGGCCAGGGGCGUGAAGCACGUCUCUGAGAGCAUUUAUUUUUUCAGUAAAAGUUUCAUGGUUUUG